UAGUCUGUAGCUCAGCUGGUUAGAGCCCCCCGCUCAUAACGGGGUUGUCCGGGGUUCAAAUCCCUGCGGGCCCACCA
rnacentral:tRNA from 1 species